AGUGAACGCUGGCGGUAGGCCUAACACAUGCAAGUCGAACGGCAGCACAGUAAGAGCUUGCUCUUACGGGUGGCGAGUGGCGGACGGGUGAGGAAUACAUCGGAAUCUACUUUUUCGUGGGGGAUAACGUAGGGAAACUUACGCUAAUACCGCAUACGACCCACGGGUGAAAGCAGGGGAUCUUCGGACCUUGCGCGAUUGAAUGAGCCGAUGUCGGAUUAGCUAGUUGGCGGGGUAAAGGCCCACCAAGGCGACGAUCCGUAGCUGGUCUGAGAGGAUGAUCAGCCACACUGGAACUGAGACACGGUCCAGACCCCUACGGGAGGCAGCAGUGGGGAAUAUUGGACAAUGGGCGCAAGCCUGAUCCAGCCAUACCGCGUGGGUGAAGAAGGCCUUCGGGUUGUAAAGCCCUUUUGUUGGGAAAGAAAAGCAGCAGGUUAAUACCCCGCUGUUCUGACGGUACCCAAAGAAUAAGCACCGGCUAACUUCGUG
rnacentral:rRNA from 1 species